UGGGGGGUUGUUCGGAGUUCUGGGCGUAAGGGCAUGCAGGCGGUUCUGCGCGUUUCGAGUGACAGCGGGUGGCUUAACUACCCGAGGGUUCGAAAGACGGCAGGACUCGAGGGCCAGAGAGGGACACGGAAUUCCGGGUGGAGUGGUGAAAUGCGUAGAGAUCCGGAGGAACACCGAAGGCGAAGGCAGUGUCCUGGCUGGCGCCUGACGCUGAGAUGCGAAAGCUAGGGGAGCGAACGGGAUUAGAUACCCCGGUAGUCCUAGCCGUAAACAAUGACCACCAGGUGUGCGGAGUAUCGACCCUCUGCGUGCCGGAGGAAACCCACUAAGUGGUCCGCCUGGGGAGUACGGUCGCAAGAUUAAAACUCAAAGGAAUUGACGGGGACCCGCACAAGCAGCGGAGCGUGUGGUUUAAUUCGAUGCGACGCGAAGAACCUUACCAGGGCUUGACAUGCCUGUGCACCUCCUGGAGACAGGAGUCCCUUCGGGGCGCAGGCACAGGUGCUGCAUGGCUGUCGUCAGCUCGUGCCGUGAGGUGUUGGGUUAAGUCCCGCAACGAGCGCAACCCCUGUGGUCGGUUGAAGCUGUCCGACAAGACUGCCACGCUUCAACGAGGAGGAAGGUGGGGAUGACGUCAAGUCAGCACGGCCCUUACGUCCUGGGCGACACACACGCUACAAUGGCCGAGACAACGGGUCGCCAACCCGCGAGGGGGGGCCAAUCCCAACAAACUCGGUCUCAGUUCGGAUGGCAGGCUGCAACCCGCCUGCCUGAAGCCGGAGUUGCUAGUAACCGUGGGUCAGCACACCACGGUGAAUACGUUCCCGGGUCUUGUACACACCGCCCGUCACACCACGAAAGUCGGCAACACCUGAAGCCGCUGGGCUAACCCGUAGGGGAGGCAGGCGUCGAGGGUGGGGUCGGUGAUUGGGGUGAAGUCGUAACAAGGUAACC
rnacentral:rRNA from 1 species